CCUACGGGAGGCAGCAGUGGGGAAUAUUGGACAAUGGGGGAAACCCUGAUCCAGCAAUGCCGCGUGAGUGAUGAAGGCCUUAGGGUCGUAAAGCUCUUUUACCAGGGAUGAUAAUGACAGUACCUGGAGAAUAAGCUCCGGCUAACUCCGUGCCAGCAGCCGCGGUAAUACGGAGGGAGCUAGCGUUGUUCGGAAUUACUGGGCGUAAAGCGUGCGUAGGCGGUUAUUCAAGUCAGAGGUGAAAGCCCGGGGCUCAACCCCGGAACGGCCUUUGAAACUAGAUAACUAGAAUCUUGGAGAGGUCAGUGGAAUUCCGAGUGUAGAGGUGAAAUUCGUAGAUAUUCGGAAGAACACCAGUGGCGAAGGCGACUGACUGGACAAGUAUUGACGCUGAGGUACGAAAGCGUGGGGAGCAAACAGGAUUAGAUACCCUGGUAGUCCACGCCGUAAACGAUGAUAACUAGCUGUCCGGACACUUGGUGUUUGGGUGGCGCAGCUAACGCAUUAAGUUAUCCGCCUGGGGAUACGGUCGCAAGNUUAAAACUCAAAGGAAUUGACGG
rnacentral:rRNA from 1 species